UACGAAGGGGGCUAGCGUUGUUCGGAUUUACUGGGCGUAAAGCGCACGUAGGCGGAUCGUUAAGUCGGGGGUGAAAUCCUGGAGCUCAACUCCAGAACUGCCUUCGAUACUGGCGAUCUUGAGUCCGGAAGAGGUGAGUGGAACUCCUAGUGUAGAGGUGGAAUUCGUAGAUAUUAGGAAGAACACCAGGUGGCGAAGGCGGCUCACUGGUCCGGUACUGGACGCUGAGGUGCGGAAAGCG
rnacentral:rRNA from 1 species